CAGUAGCCACGGUAAUACGUAGGGUGCGAGCGUUGUCCGGAAUUAUUGGGCGUAAAGGGCUCGCAGGCGGUUUCUUAAGUCUGAUGUGAAAGCCCCCGGCUCAACCGGGGAGGGUCAUUGGAAACUGGGAAACUUGAGUGCAGAAGAGGAGAGUGGAAUUCCACGUGUAGCGGUGAAAUGCGUAGAGAUGCGGAGGAACACCAGUGGCGAAGGCGACUCUCUGGUCUGUAACUGACGCUGAGGAGCGAAAGCGUGGGGAGCGAACAGGAUUAGAUACCCCCGUAGUCCCUGUCUCUUAUAC
rnacentral:rRNA from 1 species